rnacentral:rRNA from 1 species
ACGGGUGAGUAACGCGUAUCCAACCUGCCUCUGACUAAGGGAUAACCCGUCGAAAGUCGGACUAAUACCUUAUGCAGUCGUCGGAGGUCAUCUGAUGACGACGAAAGAUUUCAUCGGUGAGAGAUGGGGAUGCGUCUGAUUAGCUUGUUGGCGGGGUAACGGCCCACCAAGGCGACGAUCAGUAGGGGUUCUGAGAGGAAGGUCCCCCACAUUGGAACUGAGACACGAUCCAAACUCCUACGGGAGGCAGCAGUGAGGAAUAUUGGUCAAUGGGCGUAAGCCUGAACCAGCCAAGUAGCGUGCAGGAUGACGGCCCUAUGGGUUGUAAACUGCUUUUAUGCGGGGAUAAAGUGAGGGACGUGUCCUUCAUUGCAGGUACCGCAUGAAUAAGGACCGGCUAAUUCCGUGCCAGCAGCCGCGGUAAUACGGAAGGUCCGGGCGUUAUCCGGAUUUAUUGGGUUUAAAGGGAGCGUAGGCCGUGGAUUAAGCGUGUUGUGAAAUGUAGACGCUCAACGUCUGACUUGCAGCGCGAACUGGUCCACUUGAGUGUGCACAACGCAGGCGGAAUUCGUCGUGUAGCGGUGAAAUGCUUAGAUAUGACGAAGAACCCCGAUUGCGAAGGCAGCUUGCGGGAGCACGACUGACGCUGAAGCUCGAAAGUGCGGGUAUCGAACAGGAUUAGAUACCCUGGUAGUCCG